UCAGGUAUAUAGUAUAGUAUAGAUCGUGCUCAUUUCCUGUCUCUGUCCCUCUCUAACGUCCUGUGUUCUAUUUCCCUCACACUCAGCCUGCUUCUCCAGAAGAAGUUACAUAAGUUUGAAUUGGCUUGUUUAGCCAAUCUGUGCCCGGAGACUGCUGAGGAGUCCAAAGCGCUGAUUCCAAGCCUGGAAGGGCGUUUUGAAGAUGAGGAACUGCAGCAGAUUCUUGAUGAUAUCCAGACGAAGCGCAGCUUCCAGUACUGAUCACCAGACGUCACUCUGCUCCUUGAGAUAGCCUCCAGACCGCUCUACAGUCGGAACCCUGGGUGGGCCUCACGCAGGACUGUUGCUUCCGAAGAUACUGGGACUUCUUUAGUCAUACUUUUCGCUUUACUGAGAUAGAAUGUCUCUCUGUACUUCUCAAAGUUGUAACAGUCCUCCUGCCUCAGCCUCCCAAGUGCUGGGAUUACAGGUGUGAGCCAACACUUACAGCUUGACUUUUGGAGAAGAAACAAAGACUGGCUAUUGAUGCUCUAGGUGCUGUCUUCACCGGGACUAUUAGACCAUAAUUACUGUGACUAUUAGACCAUAAUUACCAUCUCCUCUCAUUGCAGCCUUAUAAGGGCUGCUAUGGUCAAAUGUGCUGCCAUCCUGAACUAGGGAGGUAGACCGAUGUUAAAACAUUUGGUGACUACCUCUUUCUAUGUUUUUUUUUGGACCCCAUGUUAAUAUUUUUUGUUCUUGACAUUGCA
rnacentral:lncRNA from 1 species